ACAUGUCGUCAUCAUCAUCUUCAUACCCAAGAAACACAAACAUUUCUCUCUCUCAUAUUUCUCAAUGUCUGUCUCUCUUCACUUCGGAAUGAAGAUGACGAAUGCGAAUUCCUUUUCUUCUUCUUCUUCCUUUUAUGGAUGAUUUCUCAGAAUCUUGAUGCCAUAGUUUUGGAAAGAAAUUGUACUAAAGAUAUCCCAAAACAGAAAAAAUCCACGGGUAAAAAACCCUAAAAAUCACCAUCCUCUUUGCGGCCAUUUUACCCAAAACCACCGUCCAUCCACAAUCCCACGUUUUAAGCCUCACCCCUUCAUUUUCCAUUUCCUCUAUUCAUGUUCCGAUUCUCACCCAAAAAAACAGAGGAAAGAAUAAGGGGGGAAAGAUCAGCAGAAAGGGAGGGAAGGGUUAGGGUUGAGUACCAGCGGCGGCGGAGGGGGAUGUGAACAAGGGGGCCGUUAAGUGGUUUCAUGAUCUGGGUUUAUGACUCCGGAGGGUGAUGGGGACCUCUUGUCUUCUGUUCCAAUAGAUUGGUCAUUUGCUUGAAAUGGCCAAUACUCCCAGUCCACAAGCAUGCAGGGUGGUGCUAAAUUUGUACCCCCAGCAUUGGUGAUAAGUUGACAAUUGCUGGGCUUUGCUGCAGUUUUCUUAAUGUAAAUAGAAUAGAAUACAGUAAAAAAUGGGGGGAGCUUGUUCCAGGAAGCGAGACCAGCCAGUAAACAAGGAUAACCUGAACAGAGGGGUUUCAGGUAGACAUACUAAAAGUGGAAGCUCAAAAUGGCUUGGAACCUCAUUUUCUAGAUCAUCUAUGGAUGCUGGUCAAGGGAAACGAAGUUGCCCAUCUCUUAUGGAUAUGUGUAUAUAUAAAAUUCGGCAAGACAUAAACAAAGAUAGCACCUUCUCCAUGCUGCCAAGGGAUAUAAGUCAACAGAUUUUUUGACAAUUUAGUGUGUUCCCAAUGUCUAACUGAUUCUGUACUUGAAGCUUUGCUAAGUGAAGAAAUGGGUCACAAAUUGCUUUGGCUGCCUAAAGGAUAGACAACAGCUGGUCUCAUGAGCUCACUUUUCUGUUUGUUGCAGGAUCUUAAUUUGGGAGAAUACCCAGGAUUUAAUGACAAUUGGAUGGACGUCGUCUCUUCACAGUUAUAUUUGUACACUUGGUGAGAAGACCAUGGUGAUGUCGCAGGAAGUGCUUCUUAGUGUUGGUGUUCCAUGGUGCACGUGACUAUUCGUAUUCUAUCAUAUCAUUUUUAUCAUUUGUCCCACACAAUUGUGUGUUGCUGGGUUCUUAUGUUAAACCUAUUCAAUAGUUCAUUGGUAGGGUGACGUAUUGGAGAAUUUAUUGUCACUCCCCAAAAGCUUAUCACUCGAGGUUCAGUCCUGGAUUUUAUUGUGGAGAUGCUGCUGAUAUUUCUACUCUUGAACGGUUGAGUUUUGCCAAACAAGCUUCAAUACGUAGUGCACUAUUAAUUGUCCUCCAAUGGUGUCUCACUUCCAGUUAUGAUAGAUUUAGCAAUCGUGUUAUGUUCUAGGUUUGUUUUUUUUUCUUCUUAUGUGUGAACCUCUUCUUGUAUCAGACAGAAAAUGAUCUCCUUUUGAGUUGAGUUACUUAAGAAGGUUCCACAUGUAAAUUAUGGAUAAAAAAGCACCAGCUACUGGCCAAAUAUCUUAGAAGCCGCAUGGAGCCUCUUAGAUUGUUAGAGCAUUUCGUGGAGGCAGCUUUUCUUUUGAUGAUCAUCAUCGAUCUCCCUCGUUCUGUUUUAUCCCUACAUGUCAAUUUAUUUUGGAAUCUACAUAGAGGACAUCUCUAAGGAACAAGAAGAAUGUGAGGUUUAUAAGGUGACUCUUGUGCAAUACGAUAAUUUAAUGAUUCAAAGGGCCCUCAUGGUAUGUUCUCUUGUUUUCAUCUUCCUACGACUUUGAAUUAUAAAAGUAUGCUCCAUGACUUCUGGCUUUAUGUGUUCUCUUUAUCCAUUUAUGCUAUCUCUUCGGAUAGAUGAAGUGCCAGAGCCCAUAUAUGUAGCAUGUAAUUUUAUUUUGUGCGACUCAAGUGUAUAAACUUGGCCGUGGAAUAUACUAAUUACAUUGCAGCAUAUAAUAGGAUCAUUCUCAUGUGAUAGUAUGUUUGCUCUUUGAACUCUAGGUUUUUGUCAACAAGUGAAUGACUUUGGAUAAGCUAAGGUGAUCUUUAUCAAUAGUCAUCGAUACCAUGAGUUUGACUGAUAAGAGUAUGCUCCAUGACUUGUUGCUUCACUUGUUCUCUUUAUGUGCAUGUUUCCAUGCUUUAAAAUAUUACAACAUUGAAAAUAUUUGUUGCUCUUAUACACCAAAAGCAUAAUCUAUUGCAUAUUCUUUAAGUUAUAAAAGUGUGUACAUGAUACAGAAAAAGAUGUGAAAAAUGAUAGAGAUUGAUUUGGCUGAUUGGAUGUAAGAAAUAUUAGAGAAUGGAUUUGGGUUUA